rnacentral:tmRNA from 1 species
GCCCUCGAUUUCCGCGGCGGGGCGGCCUAUAUCGGGGAUGUCGUCCUCGGACGACUAUGGCGAUAAACGGUGUGUAGAAUAAGCGUUGCGGACCCGGGGGCAGUACCCGGCGUCUCCACCAUCAUCCCUGCGGGGAUCUGUGGGGACGACACAGGCUCGACGCGCGCGGUAAAGGCACAUCUUUUGCCCGGCAUUGUACCGCCGUUAUCGGGCUAAAUCACAAGUGCCAACGAUAACAGCCGCGAGGCUGUGGCGCUCGCUGCCUAAUAGGUAAGCGCGGUCCGGGGGGAACCGGGCAACAGAAUCCCCCCACU